GGGGAAUAUUGCACAAUGGGCGCAAGCCUGAUGCAGCCAUGCCGCGUGUAUGAAGAAGGCCUUCGGGUUGUAAAGUACUUUCAGCGGGGAGGAAGGGGUUAAGGUUAAUAACCUUAGCCAUUGACGUUACCCGCAGAAGAAGCACCGGCUAACUCCGUGCCAGCAGCCGCGGUAAUACGGAGGGUGCAAGCGUUAAUCGGAAUUACUGGGCGUAAAGCGCACGCAGGCGGUCUGUCAAGUCGGAUGUGAAAUCCCCGGGCUCAACCUGGGAACUGCAUUCGAAACUGGUUCCCUUGAGUGCGGAUGAGGUAGGCGGAAUUUGUGGUGUAGCGGUGAAAUGCAUAGAUAUCACGAGGAACUCCGAUUGCGCAGGCAGCUUACCAAGCCGUAACUGACGCUCAAGCACGAAGGCGUGGGGAUCAAACA
rnacentral:rRNA from 1 species